GAUGAACGCUGGCGGCGUGCCUAAUACAUGCAAGUCGAGCGAACAGACGAGGAGCUUGCUCCUCUGACGUUAGCGGCGGACGGGUGAGUAACACGUGGAUAACCUACCUAUAAGACUGGGAUAACUUCGGGAAACCGGAGCUAAUACCGGAUAAUAUAUUGAACCGCAUGGUUCAAUAGUGAAAGACGGUUUUGCUGUCACUUAUAGAUGGAUCCGCGCCGCAUUAGCUAGUUGGUAAGGUAACGGCUUACCAAGGCAACGAUGCGUAGCCGACCUGAGAGGGUGAACGGCCACACGGGAACUGAGACACGGACCAGACUCCUACGGGAGGCAGCAGUAGGGAAUCUUCCGCAAUGGGCGAAAGCCUGACGGAGCAACGCCGCGUGAGUGAUGAAGGUCUUCGGAUCGUAAAACUCUGUUAUUAGGGAAGAACAAAUGUGUAAGUAACUAUGCACGUCUUGACGGUACCUAAUCAGAAAGCCACGGCUAACUACGUG
rnacentral:rRNA from 1 species